AUGGUGUCACAGACCCAGGUCCUCAUGUCCUUGUUGCUCUACAUCUCUGGUGCCUGUGGAGACAUCCUGAUGACUCAGUCCCCAGGCUUCCUGGCUGCAUCAGUUGGAGAGAGUGUCACCAUCAACAGAGUCUUUUAUUGAACUACAACCCGAAGAACUACUUGGCCUGGUUCCAGCACAAACCAGGACAGCUUCCUAAACUUCUCAUCUACUGGGCAUCCACCUGGGAAUCUGGAGUUCCUGACUAUGUCAGUGGCAGUGGGUCUGGGACAGAUUUCACUUUCAAUAUCAGCAGCCUCCAGGCUGAAGAUGUGGCACAUUAUUACUGUCAUCAGUGUUAUGAGGAUCCUCCCACAGUGCUUCAGCUUCAAACACAAUCCUCUUCUAGAGAUUCACAGCUAUUUGCACAUCACCCAACAAGCUGUGUGCUUGUCUGUGGCAAGACAGAAGCAUCAUGGUGGAAGAGUGUGGCAGAAGAAAGCAGCUCAGCUCAUGGCUGCUGGAAAGCAGAGAGAGAAAGACAGGAAGUGCCAGAGAUGGCUCAACCCUUCAAAGAUCCCCUUACACGAACUCCACUGGCUGCAUUUGAGCCAGAGAGUGAUGAAUGUCAGCACAGCCAUCAGUAUGUUAAGAUCCCAGAACUGGGAGACACAGCACACCUGGAUAUGACUAUAGAAGAAAGUUAA